UUCCACUUUGAGCCCAGCUCUUUUAGGUCAUUGUCUGCCUUCGCUGUGAACCAAGGAAUACCUUGGGAAUUCUCUUGCAGUUUUUAGGAGAGCAGUAACCAGAAAUGUACCACACUAGAAGUCAGGUAGAUAUACUUUGAUGAUGUAUAGCAUAUGAUAAAAGUGCUUGCUCUCUGCUUAAAGGUCUGCUGUGACAGAUGCCCUUCUGAUGACAUAGCCCACAGUCGGUCCUUUCUGUAAGGGACUCGGCUGGUUAGGGACACUCUCUGGCAGCUGCUUCUGUAUUUACCAGGCCCAGUUCUGGUGAUGAUUUUACUUCCGAUAGAAGCCGCCCCUCAAGAGCAAACAUGCAGUAGAAGAAACAGAUUUCAAAGACGAAAAUGAAUUAAACGCUGGACAAGAGAGGGAUUUGGAAGCUGGCGUAAAGGCAGUGGCGCAAGACCCACUCGAGCACGCUCAGCUAUCAUAUGGAAAAAACAAAAACACCACAUUUGCCGUAUUAUACACACAGAACCAACCGCUCUUUGGGAUUUACUUGAUGAAUAACAUAUUCCCCUGGCUUUCCUUUCUGAGUCUUAUCUAUAUUUUAAAAUAAACUAAUGUUAUCAGCUAAA